GAUGAAGAACGUAGCGAAAUGCGAUAAGUAGUGUGAAUUGCAGAAUUCAGUGAAUCAUCGAAUCUUUGAACGCACAUUGCGCCCUUUGGUAUUCCUUAGGGCAUGCCUGUUCGAGCGUCAUUUCAACCCUCAAGCCCCGCUUGGUGUUGGGCCCCGCCCGCCGUGGCCGGCCCUAAAGACAGUGGCGGCGCCGCCUGGCCCUCAGCGUAGUACAGCUCUCGCUCCAGGGUCCGGCGGCCGCCUGCCAGAACCCCCCCAACUCUGUGGUUGACCUCGGAUCAGGUAGGGAUACCCGCUGAACUUAAGCAUAUCAAUAAGCGGAGGA
rnacentral:misc_RNA from 1 species